GACGAACGCUGGCGGCGUGCUUAACACAUGCAAGUCGAACGGAAAGGCCCUGCUUUUGUGGGGUGCUCGAGUGGCGAACGGGUGAGUAACACGUGAGUAACCUGCCCUUGACUUUGGGAUAACUUCAGGAAACUGGGGCUAAUACCGGAUAGGAGCUCCUGCUGCAUGGUGGGGGUUGGAAAGUUUCGGCGGUUGGGGAUGGACUCGCGGCUUAUCGGCUUGUUGGUGGGGUAGUGGCUUACCAAGGCUUUGACGGGUAGCCGGCCUGAGAGGGUGACCGGCCACAUUGGGACUGAGAUACGGCCCAGACUCCUACGGGAGGCAGCAGUGGGGAAUAUUGCACAAUGGGCGGAAGCCUGAUGCAGCAACGCCGCGUGCGGGAUGACGGCCUUCGGGUUGUAAACCGCUUUCGCCUGUGACGAAGCGUGAGUGACGGUAAUGGGUAAAGAAGCACCGGCUAACUACGUGCCAGCAGCCGCGGUGAUACGUAGGGUGCGAGCGUUGUCCGGAUUUAUUGGGCGUAAAGGGCUCGUAGGUGGUUGAUCGCGUCGGAAGUGUAAUCUUGGGGCUUAACCCUGAGCGUGCUUUCGAUACGGGUUGACUUGAAGAGGGUAGGGGAGAAUGGAAUUCCUGGUGGAGCGGUGGAAUGCGCAGAUAUCAGGAGGAACACCAGUGGCGAAGGCGGUUCUCUGGGCCUUUCCUGACGCUGAGGAGCGAAAGCGUGGGGAGCGAACAGGCUUAGAUACCCUGGUAGUCCACGCUGUAAACGGUGGGUACUAGGUGUGGGGUCCAUUCCACGGGUUCCGUGCCGUAGCUAACGCUUUAAGUACCCCGCCUGGGGAGUACGGCCGCAAGGCUAAAACUCAAAGGAAUUGACGGGGCCCCGCACAAGCGGCGGAGCAUGCGGAUUAAUUCGAUGCAACGCGUAGAACCUUACCUGGGUUUGACAUGGAUCGGGAGCGCUCAGAGAUGGGUGUGCCUCUUUUGGGGUCGGUUCACAGGUGGUGCAUGGCUGUCGUCAGCUCGUGUCGUGAGAUGUUGGGUUAAGUCCCGCAACGAGCGCAACCCUUGUUCACUGUUGCCAGCACGUUAUGGUGGGGACUCAGUGGAGACCGCCAGGGUCAACUCGGAGGAAGGUGGGGAUGACGUCAAGUCAUCAUGCCCCUUAUGUCCAGGGCUUCACGCAUGCUACAAUGGCUGGUACAGAGAGUGGCGAGCCUGUGAGGGUGAGCGAAUCUCGGAAAGCCGGUCUCAGUUCGGAUUGGGGUCUGCAACUCGACCUCAUGAAGUCGGAGUCGCUAGUAAUCGCAGAUCAGCAACGCUGCGGUGAAUACGUUCCCGGG
rnacentral:rRNA from 1 species